rnacentral:rRNA from 1 species
GACCGCGGCUGCUGCCUCCCGUAGGCCAAUUGCCAAUCGUCUAUUCGUCGUCGAUUUGCAGACAGGGAAGGUGGUGCGAUCGCUGGAGGUUCCGAUGAGAUCUUCGGAAAUCCUGAUUCGCCCCGGCGGGGAAAUUGCCUACAUCAGCGGCACCGGCGCAGGAAAGAUCGCCGUCCUCGAUCUGCGCUCCUGGGAAAUGCAGCAGCCGCGGUC